UACGUAGGUGGCAAGCGUUGUCCGGAUUUACUGGGCGUAAAGGGCGUGCAGGCGGUUUUUUAAGUCUAGGGUGAAAGCUCCCGGCUCAACUGGGAGAGGUCCUUGGAUACUGGAGAACUUGAGGGAUGCAGAGGAAAGUGGAAUUCCCGGUGUGGUGGUGAUAUGCGUAGAUAUCGGGAGGAACACCAGUGGCGAAGGCGGCUUUCUGGGCAUUUCCUGACGGCUGAGACGCGAAAGCGUGGGGAGCGAAC
rnacentral:rRNA from 1 species